rnacentral:tRNA from 1 species
UAUGGCAGAAUAGUGCAAUGGAUUUAAGCCCCAUUUAUAAAACUCAACAUUUUUAUUAAAA